GACGAACGCUGGCGGCGUGCCUAACACAUGCAAGUCGAACGGAGCGGCGGACGGGGGAGUAAUGGCUAGGAAUCGGCCUGGGAGUGGGGGAUAGCGUCAGGAAACGGGCGCUAAUACCGCAUACUAUCAGAUGAGCCUAGGUCGGAUUAGCUAGUGGGUGGGGUAAAGGCCUACCAUGGCGACGAUCCGUAACUGGUCUGAGAGGAUGAUCAGGCACACUGGAACUGAGACACGGCCCAGACUCCUACGGGAGGCAGCAGUGGGGAAUAUUGGACAAUGGGCGAAAGCCUGAUCCAGCCAUGCCGCGUGUGUGAAGAAGGUCUUCGGAUUGUAAAGCACUUUAAGUUGGGAGGCGUUACCAACAGAAUAAGCACCGGCUAACUUCGUGCCAGCAGCCGCGGUAAUAC
rnacentral:rRNA from 1 species